AGUGAACGCUGGCGGUAGGCCUAACACAUGCAAGUCGAACGGCAGCACAGUAAGAGCUUGCUCUUACGGGUGGCGAGUGGCGGACGGGUGAGGAAUACAUCGGAAUCUACUUUUUCGUGGGGGAUAACGUAGGGAAACUUACGCUAAUACCGCAUACGACCUACGGGUGAAAGCAGGGGAUCUUCGGACCUUGCGCGAUUGAAUGAGCCGAUGUCGGAUUAGCUAGUUGGCGGGGUAAAGGCCCACCAAGGCGACGAUCCGUAGCUGGUCUGAGAGGAUGACCGCCAAAACUGGAACUGAGACAGGGCCAAGACCCCUACGGAGGGAGGAGGUGGGAAAUAUUGACAAAGGGCGGCAAGCCGAACCAGGCAUACCGCGUGGGUGAAGAAGGCCUUCGGGUUGUAAAGCCCUUUUGUUGGGAAAGAAAAGCAGCAGGUUAAUACCCCGCUGUUCUGACGGUACCCAAAGAAUAAGCACCGGCUAACUUCGUG
rnacentral:rRNA from 1 species